UGAAGGGGGUGUGUCUGCAACUUUUGACAGCCCCACAUUUCCUCAAGGAAAGAGCUGGACUCCGAGUUGAUACCUUAAAUGUCGGCACCGGUAGGUCCGUCUCCUUGUACUUAGUCCAGAGACGACCGAUCCUCGGGUCUCGGACGAUGUCCACCGGUGGUAUCCCGGGGUUCUGUAGGAGAGGGAGGGGGGAGGAGGGAGGGGGCACACACACUUGUGUUAUCCACACUUUCACAACUUCACGCGUUGCGAACUUGUUGCAAAGAAGUUUGGCACAAAGCAAACGCGACGGUGCGUUUAAAGCGAACAACCUCCGACACGCCGCUCGAGGUGCAGGAGCGCGCCCGUGGCCACCGCACCGCCACAUUGUAACCCAUCAUGGAGUGCUCGGGCAAUUGGCUGGUUAACAGCGGCGGCUCAGCGGGCCAAUCAGAGCGCAGCAGCAGAGGAGCCGUCUGCUAUUAGAGGCACGGCUCAGGAGUCCUUCAACAGAGAGCAGAGAGAGGGGGCCGAGCGCUCUCGGCAGCCAUUUUCCUGAAACAGGACUCAAUGGCCUAUAUGGGUUUCCUUUGUUCCAAAGGGGAUCUUACACUUGAUUUCCUCGUCUCUCACGGACUAUGAUAAAACUAUGAUUCCUCCUGUUAAAGGAUUGAGAAGAAGGAAGAGAAUGUACUGGAUGUAAUACCCUGUGACAUCUUGAGCCUUUUUUCCUUUGCCUGGAAUCCAUCUUUGUCUUAACUAGGUCAUGGCACACCCAUAUAAUAGUAUUUAUAUUUCUUAAGUGAAAAGAAACCAAAUGUUGUGAAUAAACAGUUGUGUGAUCUUGCAGAUGUUAAGUUAGGAAAACAACAGUUAAAGUAAUGUCUGAUUGUUGGCAUUGCACAUAUGGCCUUUGUAGGAUAUGAGUAACAAUGAGUAAGUUCAACUCUUUUAUAAUCAUUUCAAAUUGUUUUGCUUAUUUGAUCAUGUAAAAUGCAUGCAGUUACUGUUAUUAAACAUGUUUUUAUGUCACUUUAACUAUUGAGCCUAUUUGAUCACAGAAAUGUUUGCAUUUGUAAUAGACAACUUUACUAAAUAUGUUCACUGCAUGCAUACAUGUAGAUUUACCUCCUACAUUCCAUAUUAUGACACUGCUCUUUAAAUAACAGAAAGCAGGCCAUGAAUAACGAAUGGUCUUUUGUAAAAUAGUUUAAUUGUGCUUCCUGGAAUUGUGACUGUUGAUUGAUAACCCAUUUGCUUUGAUUAAUGACGUAAAACACUUUCCUCUCACAACAGCUAUGCUUAACACCCGUGGUGGCUUGUGUGUUGUAGAUUACCCCUCAUACAACUGUGGAGACAACUUAAAGAACGAUUACGUUUCUGCCGUCCAUUUGCCAUAAACGGACCAAAUGCGUCCAAAGUGUAAUCGUUGGCUUGACCUUGCUUCAAGGGCAAAUUUAAAUGUCUUUAGACGCCCAUGUAGUAGCCUUUAACACUUUCUACAACGGUUUUAAAAAACUGUCAAAAACUUCGGAGGAAACAGAGGGAAAACUCUUAUGGUGAAAAUAUUUACCUCAGCACUUUGGUGAUAUGCAGUUAACAGGCCUAAACGCCGGGGCAGAAGGAAUGUUUUCAGCUCCAUCUUCGGAUCCUCUAAUAAUGGCAUUAAUAAGGGGUGGGAUAGCAUCUCCUGAAAAGGAAGGAAUCCAUUAGCACGUAAGAUAGAAAGCUCUUUUGAAAACUUUUUCUGAUCAAUAGGCAUUGCCUCUCAGCCAGCGAAUAUGCAUCUUCAAGCAUCAUAUCUGUGUGGGCAAUAUGCAAACCAUCUCCUCUCUCCUUGAAGACAGGAGUGCCGUCAAGUAGGCUAUAACCUCUUCAAUUUCGAUAUUUCUAACUGAGCUACAUCAUAUAAAACCAAGGAAAUGUUGUUUUGAAAGACAAAGGAGAGCACUGUGCUGUAAAAUGCUGCUGCGCCAUAACUGGGAGAGGCUCGCUCACUCGGCGCGAGCGCCUCGCUCCGAGGGCAUCUGUCGGUGCGACAACAGGAAGUCUGAACACCGACCGACGCAGGCGGGCAGGGGCGAUUUGACUCGAAUUGGUGUGUGUUUAACAAGAAGUAAGAAAGCAACAGGAAAAAAAAAAGAAGAAGAAAAAAAGGUGCCGACAGUGCGCGAAGGGAAGCGAAGGACACGUUAACACAGUGGCAUGUUCGGGGCUGCCGGUCACUGACUCGCCCUGGCAACGGCAGUAAUCCGAGAGCUCUGGACGGUUGCCAUGAGUGCUCGCGCGUGUUGCACCCCCACACUGCUAUAUAAGGUCACCAGGAAUCAUCUGCAGCAGCGCUGUUGUUCUGUAUCUAGGGGGAAAUAACACGGGGGGUGCUUUCGGGCUUCAGCGCGUGUUCUUUAGCUCGAGGGGAAAAAAAGAACAAAAAAAAAUGUCCGGCGGGAUCUCUUGCAUCGAUUGUUUGAAGUGCUGCAGAUCAGAAAAUGCAAACUAAAAAGAUGCGAUUCUAUCUUUUGGUUUCGGUGAAGGAGUUGAAAACAAGGUUUUUUUUAAGGUGGGCCACUGUACGUUGCCUAUUACGCACUCCCUUUUUUUUUAGUGUGUGUAACCUGGUGCUUAUGCGGACACACAGGUUUGUAGUUGGUGUGUGUGAGGCCUGUCUUUCUUGUUAUCCACUCCUCGCUUCGCUCCGGCUGCCAAGUGCGCGCAUUCCUCCAUUUGCAGGUCACGAGGCUGCAGAUCGCGUUCUGCUCUGUCCUAACCUGCUUUCUAGAUCAUUCUCCCCCCUCCCCCCCAGUGCAAUGGGGGCAAAAAUGUAAAGAAGGUUUUAUGUAUGUAACAAAGAGGAACAUUUUGCGUUCAAAUCUGCCAAUGAGGUUAUUUAUAGGCCUUUUGUAAAAAAAAAAAAAAAAACCCUCCUCUGUGGGUUCGCCAUUCAGCUUUGCGCGCCGCUGACAGACUGGAAUAUUCCACACAGAGGAUUGGCCUCUCUUCUGCGGGACAGAUGUCUCUCUGCACGACGAAAAUGUUCUUUUGUUUAUUGAUUGAUGAAAGGGGGCUGUAUACGUGUGGAUAUUUUUUACAUCUACAGGACACGUUAAUAUCCUUUUAUGUGCAACGUUAUUCAUUUGCUAGAGUCUACUAGUUUCACCUUGUAAAUCAAACAAUCACUUUUCAAAAUUAUUAUACGGGUAUUUUUCAUAGCUUGUACCACUGUAUCGUUUUGUAGAACCUAUUGGGGCACAUGAGUACGGUUUUAUGGCUUUUUUUAUGGAGUCAGAAUAGCAGGCAGUCAGGCAAACUGCUCUGCCCUUUCUUUCUCUGUUCUUAUUUUCUCAGCCUUUUAUUUUGACGGAUUGUUCGCUGAAUCAAAUCAGGUAUCCUAUUGUGUUUUUCUUUUUUAUCUAUGGGUACGCUUAUUCAAUGUUUUUCAUUGGUGGUAGGCUCCUGUAAAUAUGUAAAAUAUUGUCUUUUCUUCUUUCUAGGUCUUAAAUAUUUGCAUAUUUAGUGUAUCAUUAGUAUACUAAUCCACCGUCUGGCUUGUGAUGUAGUCCUUAUACUUGGCAAUAGUAUCACCUGUCUGUUCCUGAAAUAUUUAAAUAAAUAGAUUAUACCCUCA